rnacentral:rRNA from 1 species
CAUCCCGAACAGGACCGUGAAACGACUUUGCGCCGAUGAUAGUGCUGCAACCAGUGUGAAAGUAGGUUAUCGUCAGGC